AUAUAAGUCAGUUGAUGUUCAAAGAAUACGCUAAGAGUAAAUAAAAUUACAAACUCUUUGUUUACUUACCUAACUGAGCAUUAGCUCCAAAACACAGAGUGGGAAUGAUUACAAGAGAUGGGGGAUGAGGGAUCAGACAGCAGAAAUUGUAAAAUGAACCUAUAUAUUUGACUCACAGGGAGGGGAAGAAUAAAGAAUUAAGUGACAUUUGCGCCAAGGGGACAGGACAAAUGUGCUAUAGAAGAGCUCUUACUCAUCGGUCACAGUCAAAUUAUAGAUAUGUGACCAGUUUGUUACAGAGAAGGUGAGGCGAGAGUAGAUCAACUCGUGUGUACUGCUUGCCUACGUUGAACCUUCAUUCACUUAGUUUACAGCUGCGCAUGUAAGGAUGGUCAAAUUUUAUAUAUUUGGUCCAGUAUGGCCUGUACUUUGUCAUUGCCAACUCCAACCACGGUUUCAUGUUACCGUUGUAAUGGACCACAGCUGCAUUCUCAAUAUCUGAUCGAUCAAUGCUUGGAUUGUAUCCCAAACCAAGCACAUGCCACGACUUGUCUAGUGGAUGUGUGAG
rnacentral:misc_RNA from 1 species